CCAAUAGCUCCGCAGAGUCUCCUUCCGGGAUCAGACACUGAGGGGCACAGCAGUGGGAAGAAUGGCGGUCCCACUUAGGGCAAACUGUGCUGCUGGGCCCAAGCUGUGCUAGAGGAAGGUCUUCCUCACACGGAGCUCUUCUCCUGAAGCAUUGGCCUCCAUGUCUAGGACAACUUUUUAUCCAAGAGCCUCCUCGGCCACAGCAGGCGGCAAUUCCUGGAUUGUGCUGAGCCAUCCCUCUCUCUGGAGAGUUUCCUGGGCUCCCGGGACAGUGCCCUGAUCCAGGUCGGCCCACUGCCUUGUGGCGACUGCGUCCAGUGGAGAGACUGCCUGCCUGAGGAGUUAGAGGAUGUCUCAAGGUGUCGCUGACACUCCUCGGCCAUUCCCUCUGUCCCAGAGAGAGUCCUGGAGAUGUCGGACCAUCAUUCAUCCAUGCUCUGCCCUCUCGGCUGGUUCCUCUCCUGGUGUUUGUGUCUGACACAUCACCAACCGCACUCUGCCUUCUGGUGUGCCAUUCUCCCUCACUGCAGUGUAACUACCUGAAGCCUAUCGCAACCCCUAUGAACUACCCACAGAGAUGAACAACUCAGACGGGACUUCGAGAGGGAGCCAUGGCCCAGCUGCAAGACCAGGGCUUCCUGGCAACCCGCAUACUGGUCCUUUCAAGUUCCCCUGAGCAUCCAAGCCAUGAGCACACUUGCCCUUAGCAGCCACUGGCCAAGGACUGAGACCAGCAGGGGCACGUGGCCUGGCCCUUCUCAUGCUCAAAAGCUGCUGAGAUGGGCUGGCAGAGACUGUGAGGUCCCCAGUGCUAUCUGAUGGU